GAAAAGAAACCAACAGGGAUUGCCCUAGUAACGGCGAGUGAAGCGGCAACAGCUCAAAUUUGAAAUCUGGCUCUCGGGCCCGAGUUGUAAUUUGUAGAGGAUGCUUUUGAUGCGGUGCCUUCCGAGUUCCCUGGAACGGGACGCCAUAGAGGGUGAGAGCCCCGUCUGGUUGGAUGCCAAAUCUCUGUAAAGCUCCUUCGACGAGUCGAGUAGUUUGGGAAUGCUGCUCUAAAUGGGAGGUAUAUGUCUUCUAAAGCUAAAUACCGGCCAGAGACCGAUAGCGCACAAGUAGAGUGAUCGAAAGAUGAAAAGCACUUUGAAAAGAGAGUUAAAAAGUACGUGAAAUUGUUGAAAGGGAAGCGUUUAUGACCAGACUUGGGCUUGGUUAAUCAUCUGGGGUUCUCCCCAGUGCACUUUUCCAGUCCAGGCCAGCAUCAGUUUUCGCCGGGGGAUAAAGGCUUCGGGAAUGUGGCUCCCUCCGGGGAGUGUUAUAGCCCGUU
rnacentral:rRNA from 1 species